rnacentral:rRNA from 1 species
AGACCCGAAACCCGGUGAUCUAGCCAUGGGCAGGUUGAAGGUUGGGUAACACUAACUGGAGGACCGAACCGACUAAUGUUGAAAAAUUAGCGGAUGACCUGUGGCUGGGGGUGAAAGGCCAAUCAAACCGGGAGAUAGCUGGUUCUCCCCGAAAGCUAUUUAGGUAGCGCCUCGUGAAUUCAUCUCCGGGGGUAGAGCACUGUUUCGGCUAGGGGGCCAUCCCGGCUUACCAACCCGAUGCAAACUGCGAAUACCGGAGAAUGUUAUCACGGGAGACACACGGCGGGUGCUAACGUCCGUCGUGAAGAGGGAAACAACCCAGACCGCCAGCUAAGGUCCCAAAGUCAUGGUUAAGUGGGAAACGAUGUGGGAAGGCCCAGACAGCCAGGAUGUUGGCUUAGAAGCAGCCAUCAUUUAAAGAAAGCGUAAUAGCUCACUGGUCGAGUCGGCCUGCGCGGAAGAUGUAACGGGGCUAAACCAUGCACCGAAGCUGCGGCAGCGACGCUGAUGCGUUGUUGGGUAGGGGAGCGUUCUGUAAGCCUGCGAAGGUGGCCUGUGAGGGUUGCUGGAGGUAUCAGAAGUGCGAAUGCUGACAUAAGUAACGAUAAAGCGGGUGAAAAGCCCGCUCGCCGGAAGACCAAGGGUUCCUGUCCAACGUUAAUCGGGGCAGGGUGAGUCGACCCCUAAGGCGAGGCCGAAAGGCGUAGUCGAUGGGAAACGGGUUAAUAUUCCCGUACUUGGUGUUACUGCGAAGGGGGGACGGAGAAGGCUAUGUUGGCCGGGCGACGGUUGUCCCGGUUUAAGCGUGUAGGCUGGUUUUCCAGGCAAAUCCGGAAAAUCAAGGCUGAGGCGUGAUGACGAGGCACUACGGUGCUGAAGCAACAAAUGCCCUGCUUCCAGGAAAAGCCUCUAAGCAUCAGGUAACAUCAAAUCGUACCCCAAACCGACACAGGUGGUCAGGUAGAGAAUACCAAGGCGCUUGAGAGAACUCGGGUGAAGGAACUAGGCAAAAUGGUGCCGUAACU